rnacentral:rRNA from 1 species
CCUACGGGAGGCAGCAGUGGGGAAUAUUGCACAAUGGGGGAAACCCUGAUGCAGCGACGCCGCGUGAGUGAAGAAGUACUUCGUUAUGUAAAGCUCUAUCAGCAGGGAAGAAAAUGACGGUACCUGAGUAAGAAGCCCCGGCUAACUACGUACCAGCAGCCGCGGUAAUACGUAGGGGGCAAGCGUUAUCCGGAUUUACUGGGUGUAAAGGGAGCGUUGACGGCAGUGCAAGUCUGGAGUGAAAGGCGGGGGCUCAACCCCCGGACUGCUCUGGAAACUGUACGGCUGGAGUGCACGAGAGGUAAGCGGAAUUCGUAGUGUAGCGGUGAAAUGCGUAGAUAUUAGGCGGAACACCAGUGGCGAAGGCAGCUUACUGGACUUUAACUGACGUUGAGGCUCGAAAGCGUGGGGAGCGAACAGGAUUAGAUACCCGGGUAGUC